UGGGGAAUCUUGCACAAUGGGCGAAAGCCUGAUGCAGCAACGCCGCGUGCGGGAAGAAGGCCCUAGGGUUGUAAACCGCUUUCAGCAGGGAAGAAGAUGACGGUACCUGUAGAAGAAGGUGCGGCCAACUACGUGCCAGCAGCCGCGGUGACACGUAGGCACCAAGCGUUGUCCGGAUUUAUUGGGCGUAAAGAGCUCGUAGGCGGUUCGGUAAGUCGGGUGUGAAAACUCUGGGCUCAACCCAGAGCCGCCACCCGAUACUGCUGUGACUUGAGUUCGGUAGGGGAGCGGGGAAUUCCUGGUGUAGCGGUGAAAUGCGCAGAUAUCAGGAGGAACACCAGUGGCGAAGGCGCCGCUCUGGGCCGAGACUGACGCUGAGGAGCGAAAGCGUGGGUAGCAAACA
rnacentral:rRNA from 1 species